rnacentral:rRNA from 1 species
CCUACGGGGGGCUGCAGUAGGGAAUAUUGGUAAUGUGCGAAAGCGCGAACCAGCAACGCCGCGUGUGCGAUGACGGCCUUCGGGUUGUAAAGCACUUUUUAAGGGGAUGAGGAAGGACAGUACCCUUAGAAUAAGCCUCGGCUAACUACGUGCCAGCAGCCGCGGUAAAACGUAGGAGGCGAGCGUUAUCCGGAUUUAUUGGGCGUAAAGCGUGUGUAGGCGGUUUGAUAAGUUGGAUGUGAAAGCUCCUGGCUUAACUGGGAGAGGUCGUUCAAAACUAUCAGACUUGAGAGUGGUAGAGGGAGGUGGAAUUCCGGGUGUAGUGGUGAAAUGCGUAGAUAUCCGGAGGAACACCAGUGGCGAAAGCGGCCUCCUGGCCCAUUUCUGACGCUCAGACACGAAAGCUAGGGUAGCAAACGGGCUUAGAUACCCUUGUAGUC